rnacentral:lncRNA from 1 species
AACUCAAGAUUAAUGAAAAAAGUUCCAAUUUCUUACAGAAAGUUUGCAGAGAAUAGAGGGGGAGAAAGGAAAACAGAAAUUUUAUUUCAUGCCGUAAUUUCUAACAUUUAUACCGUCACACAGAGUAAGUGUGCAACAGAUGCAUGCAGGACUGCAUGCCUCCUCCCCAAGCUGAUAAUCCAGUCAAGCCUCUUUAUUAGGCAAGUGUCUUUGCAUACGUGAUACUAAUGGCU